rnacentral:rRNA from 1 species
GACGAACGCUGGCGGCGUGCUUAACACAUGCAAGUCGAACGGAAAGGCCCUGCUUUUUUGGGGUGCUCGAGUGGCGAACGGGUGAGUAACACGUGAGUAACCUGCCCUUGACUUUGGGAUAACUUCAGGAAACUGGGGCUAAUACCGGAUAGGAGCUCCUGCUGCAUGGUGGGGGUUGGAAAGUUUCGGCGGUUGGGGAUGGACUCGCGGCUUAUCAGCUUGUUGGUGGGGUAGUGGCUUACCAAGGCUUUGACGGGUAGCCGGCCUGAGAGGGUGGACGGCCACAUUGGGACUGAGAUACGGCCCAGACUCCUACGGGAGGCAGCAGUGGGGAAUAUUGCACAAUGGGCGGAAGCCUGAUGCAGCAACGCCGCGUGCGGGAUGACGGCCUUCGGGUUGUAAACCGCUUUCGCCUGUGACGAAGCGUGAGUGACGGUAAUGGGUAAAGAAGCACCGGCUAACUACGUG